ACCGUGCGCGCCGAGUUCUUCUUCCUCGUGCCGAGUCGCCAUCUCCUCCCCUGCCCUAACUGCCACUCAGCAGUUCCCUACUUCCUCCUCGAGCCGAUUUCCCCUCUUCUUCUUCCCUGGAUUGCGCCACUCCUCCUCCGUCCGGCUGUGCCCUAGUUCACCCUCUGCCCUCACGGCGAAAUUGCCCUAGCCGACUGCCACAAUCCGAUCGCACCGCCGGUCGAACCCUUCUUCUUCUUCCUUCCUCGCGUCUUCAUCGCCGUCGGCGUCUGAAUAUCACCCGAGCCUUCGCCUCUUCGGGUCGGGGAUAGGAGCCGAGCACCCGAGUUGAUCUGUUGCCGGUGCCCUAGCCACUGUCUACCCCUUGAAGUGGUGUCGACGUCGGCUCGCCAUCAUCUGAGUUUGGUAGCUCUCUGGUUGGACAUCCAUCGACCGACCAUCUUUUCCUUUACGGUUGGAUCCCUGUUCAUUCCCUCACCGGCACAGAUUUGCUGCUAAUCUCUUAGCCACUGUCUAUUUAGUCUUCGAUGAAGGGAAGGUUGGCAACACAGAUUUGGAUCUGGUCGGAUCGACACCAGCAGUGAACAUCUGGUAUAAACAAGGGAUCAGUAAUUCCAGGUAGUUACGGCUAGAAAUUUGGCAAUAGACUCCUCAGGAUUUGAGCAGCACUGAGGCAUCAGAAUUUGGGAUUUUUAUUCGAGACGGCAUCUCGACGAGGGAUCUAUUUCAGAUUGGACCACUGCUAUUUGAGGCGGGUACCUCUUGACUUAUCUUUAUGAUAUUGUCAAUUGGAUAUGCAUAGUAUUUUAUAGCUACAAGUAAUGAUAAUGCUUGCCUUUGGUAUGUCAUUAUUUGUUACCCGUAACAUGUCCUGUUGGGAGUUUUUUUUAUGUAUCCAUGUUUACGUUUCGUGAUUAUUGCCAUGAGUACCUUAGUUCCUAGAGUAUGUGACAUACUAUGCUUUUCUGAGUUUAGGACUAGAUUCUGGAUUUUUAUUAUUUGACAUGUGUAUCUAUAUUUUUAUAUCAUACCUGAUCUGUGUACCUAGACCUUUUGCUUUGAUCCAUGUACAUUGUUGGUACAUAUUUUAUG